rnacentral:rRNA from 1 species
UACAGGGGGUGCAAACGUUGCUCGGAAUCAUUGGGCGUAAAGCGCACGUAGGCGGCUUUGUAAGUCGGAUGUGAAAUCCCUCGGCUUAACCAAGGAAGUGCAUCCGAAACUACAGAGCUUGAGUACUUAAGAGGAUCGCGGAAUUCCCGGUGUAGAGGUGAAAUUCGUAGAUAUCGGGAGGAACACCGAUGGCGAAGGCAGCCCCCUGGGUUAACACUGACGCUCAGGCACGAAAGCGUGGGGAGCAAACAGG